rnacentral:rRNA from 1 species
ACGGUCCUAAGGUAGCGAAAUUCCUUGUCGGGUAAGUUCCGACCCGCACGAAAGGCGUAACGAUUUGGGCACUGUCUCAACGAGGGGCCCGGUGAAAUUGAAAUACCUGUGAAGAUGCAGGUUACCCGCGACUGGACAGAAAGACCCCAUGGAGCUUUACUGCAGCUUGAGACGGAAUCUCGGAAGUAGACGCACAGGAUAGGUGGGAGGCUACGAAACAUACACUUAGGUGGAUGUGGAGCCGCUGUUGGGAUACCACCCUUCUAGUUCUGGGAUUCUAACGCGAGGAGUAACGACCCUGCGGACAAUCUCAGGCAGGCGGUUUGACUGGGGCGGUCGCCUCCGAAAGAGUAACGGAGGCGCCCAAAGGUUCCCUCAGGCCGGACAGAAACCGGCCGACGAGUGCAAAGGCAGAAGGGAGCUUGACUGCGAGACCUACAAGUCGAGCAGAGACGAAAGUCGGGCUUAGUGAUCCGGUGGCCCUGCGUGGAAAGGCCAUCGCUCAACGGAUAAAAGCUACCCUGGGGAUAACAGGCUAAUCUCUCCCAAGAGUUCAUAUCGACGGGGAGGUUUGGCACCUCGAUGUCGGCUCAUCACAUCCUGGGGCUGAAGUCGGUCCCAAGGGUUGGGCUGUUCGCCCAUUAAAGUGGUACGUGAGCUGGGUUCAGAACGUCGUGAGACAGUUCGGUCCCUAUCCAUCGCGGGCGCAAGAAACUUGAAGGGGGCUGCUCCUAGUACGAGAGGACCGGAGUGGACGAACCGCUGGUGUACCAAUUAUCCCGCCAGGGGUACAGUUGGGUAGCUACGUUCGGAAAGGAUAAACGCUGAAAGCAUCUAAGCGUGAAACCAGCCUUAAGAUGAGAUCUCUCAUAGAGCAAUCUAGUAAGACACCUUAAAGAAGAUGAGGUUGAUAGGUCGGGAGUGUAAGUACAGCAAUGUAUUGAGCGGACCGAUACUAAUAUGUCGAGGGCUUGACUUA